rnacentral:rRNA from 1 species
UACGUAGGUGGCAAGCGUUGUCCGGAUUUACUGGGCGUAAAGGAUGCGUAGGCGGAUGUUUAAGUGAGAUGUGAAAUACCCGAGCUCAACUUGGGUGCUGCAUUUCAAACUGGAUAUCUAGAGUGCAGGAGAGGAAAGCGGAAUUCCUAGUGUAGCGGUGAAAUGCGUAGAGAUUAGGAAGAACACCAGUGGCGAAGGCGGCUUUCUGGACUGUAACUGACGCUGAGGCAUGAAAGCCAGGGGAGCAAACGGG